GGUAAUAUGGCCGAGGUAUAGGCAGUAAACUGUAAAUUUACUUACGAAUUGUUAUUCUUUUACCA
rnacentral:tRNA from 1 species